ACGUCAACCGUCCGUUUCCCCGGCGCUCACUCCCAUGUCGGUGGUAGCGUCUGUCAGCUGGGGGGAUGUUAAUUUUAAGAUGAAGCAGUCGGGGAAAUACUAACUGCGCCACCGGCUUCUCCUGAGGGGUCGUGACUCUGUGGAGUUCAACACUCCACGGUGCGGUUAUAGGAGCAAAUCGCUGCAGCUGCUGGAAUCGGAACUCAAAAUAAGAGAAAAAAAUUGUAACCGGUCGAAGGGUUAUGAGGAGCUAGUUCUGGCAUGAGUGGGUACUUUUCAGGUGGCAAGGUGUUACAAAUGGAGGCCCAAAUGAAUCAGUGCUGAGGCCUCAAUUAUUUAUAAUCUUAAUCAGUGAUUUGGACGAAAAGAUUCGGUCCCUACGUUAUGGAAACGUGCCAUUCAGCCCAUCAAGUCAAUCCCACCCAGAUCUAGCCCCGCCCCUCACCUAUCCCUGGGACCCAAUCCACCAAACCUACCCAUCUUUGGAAAUGGUAAGGACUACAGAUGCUGGAAGUUAAAGUCGAUAAAAUGUGGAGCCGGAAGAGCACAGCAGGUCAGACAGCAGCGGAGAAACAGGAAAGUUGAUGUUUCUGUUAUGUGUCAGGUGGCUGCAUGAGGACAAGGGUUAUCCUCAUGUCACCUAAGCAGGUGGCAGGAACAAAUACUGAAAGUUGCCAGAAUGAAAGCUACAUCUCAAGCCGAAGGCCCUGUUUCCGCACAGUGACAAUAUGUACCUCGUGGAGAGUAAUGUCAUAACUCAAGCGAACAAUGAACACAAUCAUGAAAUUUGAGUUGACAAGAGGAUAACAACUGUGAAUUUCCUAAUGGCUGUCUGAUCUGCUGAUUUAACUUCAACAUUAAAUGGGUGCCAAUUCAGUUUAUGAAGUUAGCUGAGAUUACUGUUGUAGCAAAGAUUUCAAUUAGUGAAAAUUCAAUAGGAUUCCUAAGAAAUACCUGUACAGGCAUUUUU